rnacentral:misc_RNA from 1 species
UGUAUCCACUGCCCUGCUUUCCCUGCAGAUCAAUUAAAAUUCUAAAAUGAAUUUAUUUUGAUACAGAACAACAUUCUAAAAGUCCCUAUUUUUUUUUUAAGAAGGCUUGCCUCUAUAUCCCAUUUAUGUAAUUCUUGUUUGUCAGUUCUUACCGCAUCCUUCAGUAAAGAUGUCCAAAUAUAAUAAAUAUGAUUUAUCAAACAGCAAUAGAUCAUUAAUAUAACAAAAUUUGUAAUAAAUGUGAAAAUGUAUUAUGAUAACGCUACCCUUAACAUGUAAAAUAAUUUCCGGUGGAUGUACCUGAUUCCAUUUAAAUUGAUCCAAGUUAAACAGAAAUCACCUUAGACCUCGGUCGAUUAUUCG